rnacentral:rRNA from 1 species
GAUGAACGCUAGCGGCAGGCUUAACACAUGCAAGUCGAGGGGCAGCACAGGGAGCAAUCCUGGGUGGCGACCGGCGGAAGGGUGCGUAACGCGUGAGCAACUUGCCCGUAUCUGGGAGAUAACCGAUGGAAACGUCGACUAAUAUCCCAUAACACAAUUUGUGGCAUCGCAGAUUGUUAAAAGAGAAUCGGAUACGGAUAGGCUCGCGUGACAUUAGCUAGUUGGAGUGGUAACGGCACACCAAGGCGACGAUGUCUAGGGGUUCUGAGAGGAAGGUCCCCCACACUGGAACUGAGACACGGUCCAGACUCCUACGGGAGGCAGCAGUGAGGAAUAUUGGUCAAUGGGCGAAAGCCUGAACCAGCCAUGCCGCGUGAAGGAAUAAGGCCCUAUGGGUCGUAAACUUCUUUUGACGGGGAGCAAUAAGGUCUACGUGUAGGCCGAUGAGAGUACUCGUCGAAUAAGCAUCGGCUAACUCCGUGCCAGCAGCCGCGGUAAUACGGAGGAUGCGAGCGUUAUCCGGAAUUAUUGGGUUUAAAGGGUGCGUAGGCUGUUUGUUAAGUCAGGGGUGAAAUACCGCAGCUCAACUGUGGAAUUGCCUUUGAUACUAGCAGGCUUGAAUACUGUUGCCGUGGGAGGAAUGAGUAGUGCAGCGGUGAAAUGCAUAGAUAUUACUCAGAACACCGAUUGCGAAGGCAUCUCACGAAGCAGGCAUUGACGCUGAGGCACGAAAGCGUGGGGAUCANACAGG